CCUACGGGAGGCAGCAGUGGGGAAUUUUGGACAAUGGGGGCAACCCUGAUCCAGCCAUUCCGCGUGAGUGAAGAAGGCCUUCGGGUUGUAAAGCUCUUUCGCAAGAGAAGAAAUCUUACUAUCGAAUAAAUAGUAAGGAUGACGGUAUCUUGACAAGAAGCACCGGCUAACUACGUGCCAGCAGCCGCGGUAAUACGUAGGGUGCGAGCGUUAAUCGGAAUUACUGGGCGUAAAGCGUGCGCAGGCGGUUUUAUAAGUCAGAUGUGAAAUCCCCGAGCUCAACUUGGGAACUGCGUUUGAAACUGUAAGACUAGAGUGUGUCAGAGGGGGGUAGAAUUCCACGUGUAGCAGUGAAAUGCGUAGAUAUGUGGAGGAAUACCAAUGGCGAAGGCAGCCCCCUGGGAUAACACUGACGCUCAUGCACGAAAGCGUGGGGAGCAAACAGGAUUAGAUACCCUGGUAGUCCACGCCCUAAACGAUGUCUACUAGUUGUUGGUGGAGUAAAAUCCAUGAGUAACGCAGCUAACGCGUGAAGUAGACCGCCUGGGGAGUACGGUCGCAAGAUUAAAACUCAAAGGAAUUGACGG
rnacentral:rRNA from 1 species